GCCCGCUUAGCUCAUCCGGUAGAGCACUUCACUCGUAAUGAAGGGGUGGCCGGUUCGAGUCCGGCAGCGGGCU
rnacentral:tRNA from 1 species